GAAUUUUGGGGUUUUUGGGGAUCCCUGGGGGGGAAUUUGGGGAUCCCCAAAUGAAUUUUGGGGUUCCCAUGAAGAUUUUUGGGGUUCCCAAGUGAAUUUUGGGGACCCCGGGGCGGCUCUGGGCUCUCCGGGGUGGAAUUUUGGGGAUCCCCGGGGUGGAAUUUUGGGCUCCUCCCGGAUUUUUGGGCAUCCCCAAGAGAAUUUGGGGAUCCCCGGGGUGGAAUUUUGGGGUUCCCAUGGAGACUUUUGGGGUCCCCAAGGGAAUUUCGGGGUGCCCAGGUUGGAUUUUGGGGGACUUUGGUGUCCCUGGGGUGGAUUUUGGGGUCCCCUGGGUGGAUUUUGGGGUCCCCGGGUGGAUUUGGGGGUCCCCAGGUGGAUUUGGGGGUCCCCGGGAGGAUUUUGGGGCGUUUUUGGCUAUUUCUGCUCCUUGCUGGGGGCGUAGAAGAGCUCCAGGGGUUUGCUGAGCUUCCAGAACUUCUCGUUCACCAACUCCAGCGUCAGCGACCCGUUCAGAGGCUGGGGAGAGGGGAUCAGCACCCCGAAAUCACCCCGAAAACACCCCGAAAUCACCCCAAAAAUGUCCCAAAAACACCCCAAGAUAACCCCAAAAAUAACCCCAAAAAUAACCCCGAAACUACCCCAAAAAUAUCCCAAAAACACCCUGAAAUCACCCCAAAAACACCCCAAAAAUAACCCCGAAACUACCUCAAAAAUAUCCCAAAAUCACCCCAAAAUCACCCCAAAAAAUGUCCCAAAACCACCCCAAAAAUAUCCCAAAAACACCUCAAGAUAACCCCAAAAAUAACCCCAAAAAUCCCCCCAAAAUCAGCCCCAAACCCCCCCUGGACCCGUUCAGAGGCUGAGGAGAGGGGAUCAGCACCCCGAAAUCACCCCAAAAAUGUCCCAAAAACACCCCAAAAAUAUCCCAAAAACAUCCCAAGAUAACCCCAAAAACACCCCAAAAAUAACCCCGAAACUACCCCAAAAAUAUCCCAAAAACACCCCGAAAUCACCCCGAAAACACCCCAAAAAUGUCCCAAAACCACCC
rnacentral:lncRNA from 1 species